GGCUCAAUGGUCUAGUAGUAUGAUUCCUUCUUCGGGUACACCCGUAAUUGGAGGAGGUCCCGGGUUCAAUUCCCGGUUGAGCCC